rnacentral:lncRNA from 1 species
GAAAGAGAUGAAAGAAUAAGGAGUGGUUGCAAGGCUAGGGGAGUAACCCUAAAUAGAGGAAAACAUAAUCAUGCCAUUAUGCCCGCUGCUGGAGAGGAAUGUCCCUAUGUUAAGAUAGGAAAGGAGAAGAAAACGAGCUAAGAUAGGAAGAAAAGGACUUUUUAAUUCGGUGCCGGUAUAAAUUGUUUCUCUUUUAUCUCAAGGCACCACAGACCCAAGGCUGAAUAAGGCCUGAAUUUUGAUGCCUUUCUCUUUCAUGUAGCUGUAAAUCCUUUUAUCUUACUACCAGGAGCAUUUUCUAAGCUGGCUGGCCAAAUUAAGUGUGUAUUCUAAGGCGAAGAAAUGGAAAGGUAACUAACCCCUCACCCACCCAGCACUAUGCCCAGGAUCGUCCUAACCCCCACUCUAUCAGUCCUUAACUCAGUAAUUUAUAGACCCAACAAAGCUAAGACCCACUUCCUUCUUUUGCCAAAUCUCAGUUUACACGCUGUCCCAAAGGAGACAUUUUAGAACCAUAUCGGCAAAAGUCAGUGUUUUCUACUAAUGUGUUUCAUGACCCCAUGCUUUACAAUUGAUUAUUGAUUUAAAAAAUCUUUAAGUUUGGUUAAAUUAGCAACAAUAAACCUUGUAAAUUCCCUGUUGGGAGUUUUUACUUAACCUUGGGGCAUUCUCAGAGGGAGGUAACACAAUAUCAAAAACUAAAUUUGCCAACCUGUUGAUCAUUCUAACUGCAAAAGCAUUCAGUUAGCAUGUAUGGUAAGACUAUGCAAGGUCUCUGCCCUUGAGAAGCCAGUAGGGGAAGAUAGUUUCAAAACUAAUUUCCAUAACAAUAAUAUGACAUAUAUACAAAGUGCUGUCAGAAGAGGCAAAACAAGAAAUUUGGGAGAAAUCUGGAAUAGGAAGAGUUCUACAGAGAUUAUGUUUAUGCUGUGUCUCAAAGUGGGAGUUGCCAAAAAGAGAAGAGGGAACAGGAUGAAAGGCAUUCUGGGGAACGGAAACAAGGGCAAAGCAAGGAGUGAAAGGGCCAGGCCUGUUUAUGGAAACAUGGAAAGUGCAGUGAGGCUGGGAAGUAGGAUGUCUGGCUGGGAGUAAGGAAGAUGAGGCUCAAAAGUGCCUGGCACACCAAGCCAAGAAUUUGGAGUCUACUCUGUAGGCGAUCAUAGAUAGCAGGGAGACAAUCCAGCAAGCAGAGCUUUUACAAACCAGGGGUGACAGGAUUGUGAGUGGAGUAAAAGCAGCUUGUAUGGUAUACCUUGUGAUAGGUGAAUCAGAACCCUGCAAAUAAAUCAACUUUCUAACUUUGUUUAAACAGGCCCACUUGUUUUUGUGUCUUGAAAAGUCCCUGAUUAAAAUGCAAAUCAACCUUUGGCAUUAUUAGACAAUAUCAUUGCUAUUUGAUGACAGCCUGCUGAAAGCAAGGCUCUAAUGGAACUUAGAACCGCUGAGAAGGGAGAUGGGGGCCUGAAAGGAGACAGAUGGAAGCACUCCUAUCUGUUUUGAAUAUACCACAUAGUUUUUUUCAUUUUGUUUUGUUUUGAAGACAGAAUCUUGCUGUGUCGCCCAGGCUGGACUGCAGUGGUGUAAUCUUGGCUCACUGCAACCUCUGCCUCCCGGGUUCAAGCGAUUCUUGUGCGUCAGCCUUCUUGAGUACCUGGGACUACAGGCAUGUAUCACUACGCCUGCUAAUUUUUUUUGUAUUUUUAGUAGAGUCAGGGUUUUGCUAUGUUGGCCAGGCUGGUCUCGAACUCCUGGCCUCAAGUGAUCCGCCUGCCUCAGCCUCCCAAAGUGCUGGGCCUACCAUAUAGUUCUUGCUGCCCAAAUAGAAACAGUAAACUCUUAAGGCCAGGAAAGACACCUUAAUACAUUGAACUUUCCUUUAUCGUGUCUCACAGUUCACAAAAUGCUGAACCACUGUAAAUGCAGGGUAAAUGCUUAUUGAAUUGAGUAUUUCAUUGCAUGUGAAUAAAAUAAUGCUGUGUCUUUAUAAGGGAGGAUUAACUGACUCAUUUUCAGGAUUUAAUGAACAAGGUUGUUCUAAUUCAUGUAGUUAAAAUCUUUAGGAGGGUAUAUGAAGUGCUAGCCAUUUUAAAAAAUUACAAAUAUUAGUGCAACUGAAAGGGAAUGGACAUAAAGAUAAGAGAAAGCUGCUUUUGCCAUACAAAGAUAAACUUUUCUACUAACCUAAAUGAUAGCUGAGUCCUGUUAAUAUUUAACUACAUUCUAGUAAUAAUAGUUCCCUAUCUCACAUGGUUAUCUAAGCCCUUCAGUCUUCUGAGUUACAUGUUGGUUUUAAAAAGCACAGAUCUGGCCACGCGUGGUGGCUCAUGCCUGUAAUCCCAGCACUUUGGGAGGCCAACAUGGGUGGAUCACAUGAGACCAGGAGUUCCAGACCAGCCUGGCCAAUAUAGUGAAACCCCGUUUCCACUAAAAAUACAAAAAUGAGCCGGACAUGGUGGUGUUCACCUGUAAUCCCAGCUACUCAAAUGGCUGAGGCAAAAGAAUCCCUUGAACCUGAGGCAGAGGUUGCAGUGAGCCAAGCUCACACUGCUGCACUCCAGCCUGGGUGACAGAGUGAGACCUUGUUACAAAAAACAAACAAACAAACAAAAAACAAGGCUAGGUGGCUCAGGCUUGUAAUCCCAAAACUUUGGGAGGCUGAGGCGGGCCGAUCACCUGAGGUCAGGGGUUCAAGACCAGCCUGGCCAACAUGGUGAAACCCUAUCUCUACUAAAAACACAAAAAUUAUCUGGGCACGUUGGCAGGUGCCUGUAAUCCCAACUACUCGGGAGGAUAAGGCAGAAGAAUCGCUUGAACUCAGGAGGUGGAGGUUGCAGUGAGCCGAGAUUGUGCCACUACACUCCUGCCUGGGCAACAGAGAAAGAGUCUGUCUCAAAAAAAAACAAAAACCUUCCAAGUUGGUUUGUAAAAUAUCUUUUACAUCAAGAACCAACUAAUUGAGGCUAGUUGAAGAACAUAAGCGUAUAUUCUGUACACCCAAAUGUUUGCCAAUCAACGUUAAACACAUUCUCAACAUUAAAAUACAUUUUCAAGGUUGAACUCACGGGAGCCACACUAAUCAAGAUGUGUAAUGUAGGACACCAUACAAUUAUAGCCAUUAUCAGACUAAACCAGACUGGGCACUUAACACAUAUUCCAUAUUUAGGAUCUUUCAUCUUGUGAGUUCAACUCAUACCUUAGAAACAUUAAUUAAACUUUACAAUGUUGCCACAUGAAGUGUAGUUAUUAUUGGCCACCUUUAACCAAGCUGUUUAUAAAGGUAAGUAUAUGUGUAAAGGAAGAAAUACAAACAAAGACAGGGAGCUAGCUUUUACAAUGUCAAUUCCUUUAUUUCUGUGGACAUCUCCCUAAAAAGGCAGAGUGUAACCCAUUUCCCCUUUUUGAUCACAGGGAUUCCCCAGGGUGCUUGGGGAAUCAAGAUGUGUAAUGUAGGACGCCAUACAGUUAUAGCCAUCUGGGGUGCUUUAGGUCCUCUCCAGAUAUCUCAUACCAGUGGCUUGCCACUAGACAGACACUCCUGGAAGCCUUCCUAUCCAAUGGGUGGGAUUUUCCUUAGGAAUGGGAGAGACUGCUUGCCCAGGAGAAUCUGAAGAUGUUUCUGAGAAUGCAUUAAAAAAACACAAACAACAACAAAAAGCAAAAACCAAAACAAAACAAAACAGAAAAAACGGCUGGGCACAGUGGUUCACACCUGUAAUCCCAGCACUUUGGGAGGCCAGAGUGGGUGGAUCACUUGGCCAGGAGUUUGAGACCAGCCUGGGCAACAUGGCGAUACCCUGUCUCUACUAAAAAUACAAAAAUUAGCCAGGCCUGGUGGUGCACAUCUGUGGUCCCAGCUACUUGGGAGGCUGAAGUAGGAGAAUUGUUUGAACCCGGGAGGCAGAGGUUGCAGUGAGCCGAG